GAUGAAGAACGCAGCGAAAUGCGAUAAGUAAUGUGAAUUGCAGAAUUCAGUGAAUCAUCGAAUCUUUGAACGCACAUUGCGCCCGCCAGUAUUCUGGCGGGCAUGCCUGUUCGAGCGUCAUUUCACCACUCAAGCCUGGCUUGGUGUUGGGCGACGUCCCCUUUGGGGACGCGCCUCGAAACGCUCGGCGGCGUGGCACCGGCUUUAAGCGUAGCAGAAUCUUUCGCUUUGGAAGUCGGGGCCCCGUCUGCCGGAAGACCUACUCGCAAGGUUGACCUCGGAUCAGGCAGGGAUACCCGCUGAACUUAAGCAUAUCAAUAAGCGGAGGA
rnacentral:misc_RNA from 1 species